AGGUUAUGAUGUGAAAAUUUCUUGAAAAAAUGUUUAAAUCUCUCCCAUGCCUCAAAUAAUGAUUCAAUGUCCAACUGUGCAUAAGUUGUAAUCUCUUGAUGAAGCGU